rnacentral:misc_RNA from 1 species
AUGGAGACGAUCGGUUCGCCGAUAUGACCUUUCCCGUGCUUUUUAGAACAAGAUCGGAUCAGUCAGAUCACGAUCGAAACGUAAUACGCCGCAGAGGUGCUUGCACCCUGACGGUAUGGCGAGACCCGCCGUCCACGUUUCUCUUUCUCACAAGGAUACGAACCACGCCCGCUCACUUUGCGUCGAGCGACGUUUAGGUGGUGCGUGCUUGACCCAGAAUGGGCCCGUAGCUCAGGUGGUUAGAGCGCACGCCUGAUAAGCGUGAGGUCGGCAGUUCGAGUCUGCCCGGGCCCACCAUUUUGGUAGCUUGGCAGAUGAUCGAAAGGUUGGGGCUGUAGCUCAGCUGGGAGAGCACCUGCUUUGCAAGCAGGGGGUCAGCGGUUCGAUCCCGCUCAGCUCCACCAUUUUGUUUGGUGGACGCCGGACGACCGGCGACGGCCUUUGGCCUUGCGAAGCCUUCGGCUUCGUUCGAGUGCCAUGCUUGAGGGUAUCCUUGGAGAAAAUAAGGUUUGCAUCGUCUCUCAUGAGACCGAUGCCUGUUCUGCUAAAAUUGUGAAGAGAAGAUAUGUCUGGAAGCUUCCAGGUGUUGACGGCGAUUGUCGAAAGACGGUCGGUGUCGGCGUCCGAGCCCAGUCCUUUUGAAGCCAUCGAUGGUCUAGCCGACCGGAGAUGGAAGAGGGGCUGGAGGUAGGAGGGAAGUCUUGUCGUUCAAGGCAUGGAUGUUGUUGGGGUGUCCUUCGGGAUGCCCUUCUGGUGUUCAUGGCCGAUUGGUGUUGCCUGACCGCGCAUCACCGGACAGAUCUCGAGAAGCUGGUCUUAAGAUUUGGCGCAAGCGAACCGCUCGGCGUGGUUCCAAUAAAGCGACCAAAUCGAACACGUCGAUGGCAUCUGGAUUUGGAUUGGGUUGUAAAAGGUAACCCUAUCCGCCGCGUCCCUUCGGGACGACGGCUUAAGGAUGAGCAUUGGCAAUGAGAACGAUCAAGUGUCAAAAGGGCAUUUGGUGGAUGCCUUGGCAUGCACAGGCGAUGAAGGACGUGAUACGCUGCGAUAAGCCGUGGGAGCUGCGAAUGAG